AAUCUGCCUUAGGAGGGGGACAACAGUUGGAAACGACUGCUAAUACCCCAUAUGCCGAGAGGUGAAACAUUAAUGGCCUGAGGAGGAGCUCGCGUCUGAUUAGCUAGUUGGUGGGGUAACGGCCUACCAAGGCGACGAUCAGUAGCUGGUCUGAGAGGAUGAUCAGCCACACUGGGACUGAGACACGGCCCAGACUCCUACGGGAGGCAGCAGUGGGGAAUUUUCCGCAAUGGGCGAAAGCCUGACGGAGCAAGACCGCGUGAGGGAGGAAGGUCUGUGGAUUGUAAACCUCUUUUCUCAGGGAAGAAGAACUGACGGUACCUGAGGAAUCAGCAUCGGCUAACUCCGUGCCAGCAGCCGCGGUAAUACGGAGGAUGCAAGCGUUAUCCGGAAUUAUUGGGCGUAAAGCGUCCGUAGGUGGCUAAGCAAGUCUGCUGUUAAAGAGCGGAGCUAAACUCCGUAAAGGCGGUGGAAACUGCAUAGCUAGAGUGUGGUAGGGGUAGAGGGAAUUCCCAGUGUAGCGGUGAAAUGCGUAGAUAUUGGGAAGAACACCGGUGGCGAAGGCGCUCUACUGGGCCACAACUGACACUGAUGGACGAAAGCUAGGGGAGCGAAUG
rnacentral:rRNA from 1 species